rnacentral:rRNA from 1 species
CUACGGGGUGCUGCAGUGGGGAAUAUUGCACAAUGGGGGAAACCCUGAUGCAGCAACGCCGCGUGGAGGAUGACGCAUUUCGGUGUGUAAACUCCUUUUAUAUGUCAAGAAAAUGACGGUAGCAUAUGAAUAAGCACCGGCUAACUCCGUGCCAGCAGCCGCGGUAAUACGGAGGGUGCAAGCGUUACUCGGAAUCACUGGGCGUAAAGGACGCGUAGGCGGGUUGGAAAGUCAGGUGUGAAAUCCUACAGCUUAACUGUAGAACUGCACUUGAAACUUCUAAUCUAGAGUAUGGGAGGGGGAGAUGGAAUUAGUGGUGUAGGGGUAAAAUCCGUAGAUAUCACUAGGAAUACCUAAAGCGAAGGCGAUCUCCUGGAACAUUACUGACGCUAAGGCGUGAAAGCGUGGGGAGCAAACAGGAUUAGAUACCCUCGUAGUC